rnacentral:rRNA from 1 species
AUUGAACGCUGGCGGCAUGCCUUACACAUGCAAGUCGAACGGUAACAGGUCUUCAGAUGCUGACGAGUGGCGAACGGGUGAGUAAUACAUCGGAACGUGCCUAGUAGUGGGGGAUGACUACUCGAAAGAGUGGCUAAUACCGCAUGAGAUCUACGGAUGAAAGCAGGGGAUCGCAAGACCUUGUGCUACUAGAGCGGCCGAUGGCAGAUUAGGUAGUUGGCGGGAUAAAAGCUUACCAAGCCGACGAUCUGUAGCUGGUCUGAGAGGACGAUCAGCCACACUGGGACUGAGACACGGCCCAGACUCCUACGGGAGGCAGCAGUGGGGAAUUUUGGACAAUGGGCGAAAGCCUGAUCCAGCAAUGCCGCGUGCAGGAUGAAGGCCUUCGGGUUGUAAACUGCUUUUGUACGGAACGAAAAGCCCCGGGUUAAUACCCUGGGGUCAUGACGGUACCGUAAGAAUAAGCACCGGCUAACUACGUGCCAGCCGCCGCCGUAA